rnacentral:misc_RNA from 1 species
GAUGAAGAACGUAGCGAAAUGCGAUAAGUAAUGUGAAUUGCAGAAUUCAGUGAAUCAUCGAAUCUUUGAACGCACAUUGCGCCCGCCAGUAUUCUGGCGGGCAUGCCUGUCUGAGCGUCAUUUCAACCCUCAUGCCCUAGGGCGUGGUGUUGGGGAUCGGCCAAAGCCCGCGAGGGACGGCCGGCCCCUAAAUCUAGUGGCGGACCCGUCGUGGCCUCCUCUGCGAAGUAGUGAUAUUCCGCAUCGGAGAGCGAUGAGCCCCUGCCGUUAAACCCCCAACUUUCCAAGGUUGACCUCAGAUCAGGUAGGAAUACCCGCUGAACUUAAGCAUAUCAAUAAGCGGAGGA